AGAAAUACUUUUGCCAGAUGAAAGCUGUUCUGCUGUUGCCUUUCCAACAGGAUAGUUCAGUCUGCAGCUUCUCCAGCAGCUCUGAGUAGCUCCAGCAGUCUGUCACAUGCUGCCAAAGGCACACUGCAAUCCCAGCAAGGGUGUGUGAGGAUGGGAGCCCUCUUGGCAUAAGCGUUGGAGGAUCAUCCCACUAAGUAGGAGCCAGGUUGGAUCCUAUGUCCAGAGUCUUCCUGAAGCAUGGAACAUUCUCUGUUGCAAGAGCAUCAGCUUUUGAAAAGCCUGAUCUAAAUCUCCACGAGAACUACUCACUAUUGCAGUACCCGAGGAAUGAAGUCUCAUCAGGCUUCAGCAGUGCAAUUAAAAUAAAACCACCUCAUGUUUGACUUGUUUCAAAUAACUAGUUCUUCUGUUUUCUGGGCUGAGGUUCUCCAAAGGACAUAACCAAGGUGAAGCAGGGCAAGAAGAGCAGAAAUGGGAGUUGGGUGUCCACUUAUGGGCAGCAACUGUCCCAGCUCUCAGCUGAAAUACAUUUUAGGAUCCUAAUAGAUAAUGACACCAUUUCACUGUAAAGAAACUGCAUUGUUAUAUUCUUAACAGUUUUUCAUAGAUACUUGAUUGGGAUGACACAUACAGAAUAAAAUACUAAUACAGUAGCAUACAAAGGAGUUUUACAAGCAGUAACAUAUUUCUAAAAAACCAAACCAAUGAUUAAAAUCACAGGACAAUGGGUUUUGAAUUUUUUUUUUUUAAGUGGAAGUCAAUAAUAUGUUGUGCUAUAAACAAAUCUUUAAUCCAGGGUUACUCCAGAUAACACAGUUAUGUUUUGCAGUCAGUAGUCUCCAAAAGAACAUUAAGCUUGUAUAGAUGCCUGACUAAGAUGGUGGCAUAUUUACAAUACAUUAUACUGAUUUAUAUGUGCUUUUUCGUCUCCAUCCAAACAAUAGCUUUUCUUCAUCCCUAUCCUAACAGCUGCAGCAAUGGGGUUUGUUUCAGGCUUUGUUUGGGAGAUUAAAACCAUCUCAGUAUAAUCUCUUUUUGUUUUAUACACUGAAGGAAGCAUUAGAGAUGAAAAUGAAUGCCACAAUGGAUUUCAUUAAUCACACCAGGAAGCUUGAUCUGCUGUAGUAGGCAC